UACGUAGGGUGCAAGCGUUGUCCGGAAUUAUUGGGCGUAAAGAGCUCGUAGGCGGUUUGUCGCGUCUGCUGUGAAAACUCGGGGCUUAACCCCGGGCCUGCAGUGGGUACGGGCAGACUAGAGUUCGGUAGGGGGAGAUCGGAAUUCCUGGUGUAGCGGUGAAAUGCGCAGAUAUCAGGAGGAACACCGGUGGCGAAGGCGGAUCUCUGGGCCGAUACUGACGCUGAGGAGCGAAAGCGUGGGGAGCGAACAGG
rnacentral:rRNA from 1 species